GUCCCUGUGGCACAACCGGUCGUGCGUCUAACCAUGACUUUCGUAGAGUAACUGAGUUCGAUCCCCAGCAGGGGCA